rnacentral:rRNA from 1 species
GUACAAUGGAGGUGCUGGGGUUGUCCGCUGACUUUUGAAACGGUCGUGCACGCCUCGGUACUCUCACAUACAAUCCAUCUCACCCCUCUUGUGCAUCACCGCGUGGAGGCCCCUUUUGGCUAGUUCUAAAGGGGGUUUUCGCGUUUUUAUACAUACACCGUUUUAAUGCAAUGCGUAGAAUGUCAUACUUUUGCGAUCACACGCAAUUAAUACAACUUUCAACAACGGAUCUCUUGGCUCUCGCAUCGAUGAAGAACGCAGCGAAAUGCGAUACGUAAUGUGAAUUGCAGAAUUCAGUGAAUCAUCGAAUCUUUGAACGCACCUUGCGCCCUUUGGUAUUCCGAAGGGCACACCCGUUUGAGUGUCGUGACAUCCUCAAACCUUCUUGGUUUCUUGACCAGGAAGGCUUUGGACUCUGGAGGUUUUUGCUGGCCUUACUUUGUUGAAGCCAGCUCCUCUAAAAUGGAUUAGUGGGAUCUGCUUUGCGGAUACUUGACGGUGAUAAGAUAUUUCUACGUCUUGGAUCUCGCACUGUUCGCUCUGGAUCCUGCUUCUAACCGUCUCAUA